CCACAGCUCAGCUGGUACUGAGCCACACUCAAGGGCACUGCCAUAAAUAAGAGGAGGGGGAAGCCUGCUCUGGCUUGCCUCAGUUUGUGUGUGAACUGGUGAGCAAUGAACACACUAAUGUUUGUGCUUGGUUCUGUGACAACACUAUAAACUGAUUAUGUAAUUCUUGUCAUUUCUAACCCUAUUGCUGCUUCAAAUGUGGUAUAUAGUGUUGAGAUUUUCAAUAGAAAACUGGUACUGCAUAAUUUAAUAUGAAAUUUUCUGCAGAAACAGAGGAUGAUAAUGGAGUAAUGGCAAGAAAUAAAAAGGAAAUUAUGUGACAUGAUUUUAUGUAUAAUAAAUAAAAUAUUAAUCUAUUUGUUCAUAUUGUUUUUCAGCAUAAUAUUUCAGUGUGUCUUAUAAUUUGCAGUGAAAGUGCUUAUAUAACCACUAAUGUGUGUGAUUUACAAUUUAAUAGUGCUGUGAGUCUGGAAUGUGAAGGUUACCUUGGAAUAUAAACAAACCAGUAAACAAUAACAAAAGACUGACACUAUACUUACAGGCAUGUAUUAAUGCUUUCAUGUGCAUUGGUCUGAAUUGCAAGAUUAUGAAAUGUAAUUGAGUAAAUCAUUUACAGAGAAAGGCACAAAGGUGUUUGUUAUUGAUUCUUCCUUGCCUGGUGGACUGGUAACUGAUCAAUACUGGUUGCUUAUUACCUUCACACUUGUACCCAGGACACUGAUACAUCCAGAAAGUUGCCAUGUGCUGGUAGUAGGACUAUGCUGAAUCAUUUCAACACUUGUGUUGUUGUGCCUGCACAGGAUGUUGAACUAAGUGUUCAGAAGAAAAAUGGGAACUUUGAAGCAUACCAGUUUCAUUUAAUGUGCGGCUCUUUCUAGGGGGUCCACGGCCAUGUUUCACCAAAUUGUGUAAAAUAAUGAGUAAAAUUAUUGAAUAAAAAUGUGAAAAUCAAA